rnacentral:rRNA from 1 species
UACGUAGGGUGCAAGCGUUAAUCGGAAUUACUGGGCGUAAAGCGUGCGCAGGCGGUGAUGUAAGACAGAUGUGAAAUCCCCGGGCUCAACCUGGGAACUGCAUUUGUGACUGCAUCGCUGGAGUGCGGCAGAGGGGGAUGGAAUUCCGCGUGUAGCAGUGAAAUGCGUAGAUAUGCGGAGGAACACCGAUGGCGAAGGCAAUCCCCUGGGCCUGCACUGGACGCUCAUGCACGAAAGCGUGGGGAGCAAACAGGA